GGGUGAUUAGCUCAGCUGGGAGAGCACCUCCCUUACAAGGAGGGGGUCGGCGGUUCGAUCCCGUCAACCCACCA
rnacentral:tRNA from 1 species